rnacentral:lncRNA from 1 species
CGCGGGGUCACUCCUGCGGGGCGAGCCAGGAGCCCGGCGCCUGCCCCUCCGCGCCGCCCGCGCCAGUGCGCCCAGUGGACAAGCGGUGCCCCCGAGCCCUAAGCUGAGCCGCACGCCGCUGACCGUCCGCGCCACCCCUCGGUUCGCGGUCCCGCCGCGGCUUGCACAGGGAUCAUGCUUUUGGUGUUGUAUACAAAAAGGGGUUUAAAUGUCUGGGAAACAAGCCCUGAGGGAUCACUGGCCUCCAGGAAGCAGCUCAAAAAACCUUGAAGAGACAUCAUGAGCAGAUCUUCUGCACAUUAAGAUGAGGAGACCGGGCGUGAAGAAGUGUGGUGACCUG